UCCCGUGUGGCUCAGUUGGUAGAGCAUGGUGUUUGCAACGCCAGGGUUGCGGGUUCGAUUCCCACGGGGG
rfam:Salmo salar isolate Sally breed double haploid chromosome ssa14, whole genome shotgun sequence.